AUUGAACGCUGGCGGCGGGCCUAACACAUGCAAGUCGAACGAGUGGCGGACGGGUGAGUAAUGUCGGGGAAACUGCCAGAUGGAGGGGGAUAACUACUGACAACGGUAGCUAAUACCGCAUACCAUAGGAUGGGCCAAGAUGGGAUUAGCUAGUAGGUGGUGUAAUGGAUCACCUAGGCGACGAUCCCGAUGUGGUCUGAGAGGAUGACCAGCCACACUGUAACUGAGACACUGUCCAGACUCCUAAGGGAGGGAGCAGUGGGGAAUAUGCCACAAUGGGCGCAAGCCUGAUGCAGCCAUGACGCGUGUGUGAAGAAGGCCUUCGGGUUGUAAAGCACUUUCAGCUGGGAGGCGGUACCCGCAGAAGAAGCACCGGCUAACUCCGUGCCAGCAGCCGCGGUAAUAC
rnacentral:rRNA from 1 species